ACUGAUCCCAGUUCACUGGAGUACCAGACACUUACUGGUGAAGCACCUACACUCAAUGGAGAGUCCAGUAUCCCAUCUGUUCCAGAUGAGGUCACAGAAGAGCUGAGGACAGUUCUGGAGUCAUGUCUGACCAGGGAGCACCUCUGCAGCGACCUGUACCU